rnacentral:rRNA from 1 species
AACGUAGGAGGCAAGCGUUAUCCGGAUUUAUUGGGCGUAAAGCGCAUGCAGGUGGUUUCGUAAGUCGGAUGUGAAAGCCUCUGGCUUAACUGGAGGAGGUCGUUCGAUACUGCGGAACUAGAGGUCGGAAGAGGGAAGCGGAAUUCCCGGUGUAGUGGUGGAAUGCGUAGAUAUCGGGAGGAACACCAGUGGCGAAGGCGGCUUCCUGGUCCGUACCUGACGCUAAGAUGCGAAAGCGUGGGGAGCGAACGGG